rnacentral:rRNA from 1 species
CCCCUAGAUGUUCUGGGCCGCACGCGCGCUACACUGAACAGUUCAACAAGUCUUAACCUUGGCCGAUAGGUCUGGGUAAUCUUUGAACGCUGUUCGUGAUUGGGAUAGACCUUUGCAAUUAUGGGUCUUCAACGAGGAAUUCCUAGUAAACGCAAGUCAUCAGCUUGCAUUGAUUACGUCCCUGCCCUUUGUACACACCGCCCGUCGCACCUACCGAGUGAAUGGUCCGGUGAAAUCUCGGGACGGCGGCUUGGUCGCUUGCGUCCGACUGCUGAAACUUGAUUAAACCAUAUCAUUUAGAGGAAGGUGAAGUCGUAACA